rnacentral:misc_RNA from 1 species
ACUUGAAUUAAACUGAACUUGGUUUAGCAAUAUCUUAAAGACAAUAAAUUGAUACAACUCCCAUAAUGAAUUCAACCAUAACAUCCCCACGCAUGAAAAGCGAAUGAAAGCCAAACUAAACCCAAAACAGAAGGCUUCAUGCGUUUUCUUAGAAAAAUCUGCCUUGUCAACAUUUGACACACGGGUAGAAGUAAAAGAAGGGUUUCCCAGUAUAACUGACAAGGCGUCGUUAGUGCAUCCAUCAACCCCAAGAGUCACCUCAGCCUUGACAAGUAAGAAGGAACCAUCACAAAGAGCAAAUAUGCUCAAAUAAAACUUUUGUUGCUGCACCCCUCUUUCCAGGUUUUGGGUAUCGAGCCUACGGUCCUCUGGUUGCUUGUAAGAGCUAACACUGAAAUUAGUCGCAGCAUUAUAACCCUGAUUUGGGUUAUUCAGAAAAUUGUAAGCCAUGUCAGGAUGAUUCACUUGUUGAGUGUAACUUUCAGGAAGCGCCGGGAGAUGAUGUUCGCCGAAAUCUUGAACUAUGCCCAAGGAAUUGCUUCCAAAACAAAGCUGCUGCAUGCCAUUGUUGGAGUUAUAUGGCGUACAGAAAUAGCCCGGCACCAGUUGUCCAGUUCCAAUGGUUUCAGCAGGGUGAUUUAAAGGGAUAUCAAGACGCUGCCUAUAUGGAGCUCAAUGAUCUUGAUAUCCCUUUAAAU